UACGGAGGGUGCAAACGUUGCUCGGAAUCAUUGGGCGUAAAGCGCACGUAGGCGGCUCGUUAAGUCGGAUGUGAAAGCCCCGGGCUCAACCCGGGAAGUGCACUCGAAACUGGCGAGCUUGAGUAUGGAAGAGGGUCUCGGAAUUCCCGGUGUAGAGGUGAAAUACGUAGAGAUUGGGAAGAACACCAGUGGCGAAGGCGGCUAUCUGGACGGUUUCUGACACUAAGACUCGAAAGCGUGGGGAGCAAACAGG
rnacentral:rRNA from 1 species